UCCAGCCAAACUUAUUAUGUGUGUGCAAUAUGAAUAGGAAGAUAAGAAUAUGCAAGAAAAACACAUUUUAAUCAGAUGAUAUUUUUCCUUUAGGUUACAAUAUAGUAAAUCUUUUUGGAGUGCAAUGCUAUACUCUCUAAAAACAUGAACAUCAUUUAUUUGAAGACACGGUUCUCUGUAGGGUCACUUGCCAUGACUUUAUUUGAGUAUAUUUCUGUGUGCAUGUGGCAGGGAAAACAUUGUUGUUUACUAGAAAUUCACUCUUUUAUCUGAAGAUUGGAGACUACAUAAGACUUUGACAGAUGGCGGGAAACCCUCAUGAACUGGAUAGAAGCCGGUAGAGGAAUGUCUGCGACUAAGCCGAGGGCCACUGGAUAAGGGUUGUUGAUGGUAAAACAGAUUGGAGACUACAUAAGACUUUGACAGAUGGCGGGAAACCCUCAUGAACUGGAUAGAAGCCGGUAGAGGAAUGUCUGCGACUAAGCCGAGGGCCACUGGAUAAGGGUUGUUGAUGGUAAAA